GACGAACGCUGGCGGCGUGCUUAACACAUGCAAGUCGAACGGAAAGGCCCUGCUUUUGUGGGGUGCUCGAGUGGCGAACGGGUGAGUAACACGUGAGUAACCUGCCCUUGACUUUGGGAUAACUUCAGGAAACUGGGGCUAAUACCGGAUAGGAGCUCCUGCUGCAUGGUGGGGGUUGGAAAGUUUCGGCGGUUGGGGAUGGACUCGCGGCUUAUCAGCUUGUUGGUGGGGUAGUGGCUUACCAAGGCUUUGACGGGUAGCCGGCCUGAGAGGGUGACCGGCCACAUUGGGACUGAGAUACGGCCCAGACUCCUACGGGAGGCAGCAGUGGGGAAUAUUGCACAAUGGGCGGAAGCCUGAUGCAGCAACGCCGGGUGCGGGAUGACGGCCUUCGGGUUGUAACCCGCUUUCGCCUGUGACGAAGCGUGAGUGACGGUAAUGGGUAAAGAAGCACCGGCUAACUACGUG
rnacentral:rRNA from 1 species